rnacentral:rRNA from 1 species
AACGAACGCUGGCGGCAUGCCUAACACAUGCAAGUCGAACGAACCCUUCGGGGUUAGUGGCGCACGGGUGCGUAACGCGUGGGAAUCUGCCCUUUGCUUCGGAAUAACAUAGAGAAAUUUGUGCUAAUACCGGAUAAUGUCGCAAGACCAAAGAUUUAUCGGCAAAGGAUGAGCCCGCGUAAGAUUAGCUAGUUGGUGGGGUAAUGGCCUACCAAGGCGACGAUCUUUAGCUGGUCUGAGAGGAUGAUCAGCCACACUGGGACUGAGACACGGCCCAGACUCCUACGGGAGGCAGCAGUGGGGAAUAUUGGACAAUGGGCGAAAGCCUGAUCCAGCAAUGCCGCGUGAGUGAUGAAGGCCUUAGGGUUGUAAAGCUCUUUUACCAGGGAUGAUAAUGACAGUACCUGGAGAAUAAGCUCCGGCUAACUCCGUGCCAGCAGCCGCGGUAAUGUGUGACUG